rnacentral:rRNA from 1 species
UACGGGGGGGGGCAAGCGUUGUUCGGAAUUACUGGGCGUAAAGGGCUCGUAGGUGGCCAACUAAGUCAUACGUGAAAUCCCUCGGCUUAACCGGGGAACUGCGUCUGAUACUGGAUGGCUUGAGGUUGGGAGAGGGAUGCGGAAUUCCAGGUGUAGCGGUGAAAUGCGUAGAUAUCCGGAGGAACACCAGCGGCGAAGGCGGCAUCCUGGACUGGUCCUGACACUCAUGAGCGAAAGCGUGGGGAGCGAACAGG